ACACACACACACACACAGAGCCCACAUAUGUAUAGUUCAGAUUUUCUAUUUGAGUAAUUUUAUUAGCAUGCAUCAAUUCAGUUUCAUUAUGGCAUUUUCACACAUUUACCUAUCGUAAUCAUGAUCAUUCCUGCUUUCUGUUAUUCUCCCCUGUUCCCCUUUCUGCCAAUCCUCUUCCCACCUUGCCUUCAUGUCUUUUUCCUUUUGCUGGGCAUGGGGAUCCAGGGAAUUUCAGGUGAGAUGUGACAGGAGAGUGGACAGGGAUGUAGGGGUUUGUUUGCAGGUUCCUGGGCAUCUCACCUUUGGUGCACCACUGAAGGAAAUGCCUUCUUCCUCCAUCAACUGUUACUUCCUAUUUCUUCUUUGAUGUCCCCUGAACCUUGGAGGAGGUGAUUCAGAUGUCCUGUUUAUAGCUGAAUGUAUUCAGCAGUCAUUUAUCCUUUUAAAAAAUAUGGUUGCUGAAAAGAUGGCUCAGUGGUUAAGAGCACUGACUGCUUACACACGGUGUAAGAGGACAUGGUGUCUGACAAUCUUCUGUAACUCUAGUCCUGGGAGUUACCGUCUUCUGACCUCUGAGGGCAACUGCACAUACAUGGGGCACAGAUGCAUAUGAAAGCAAAAUACCCAUAUAUAUAAAAAUAAAUAAUAAAUCUUCAGUUUUAAAGGUGUGUGUGUGUGUGUGUGUGUGUGUGUGUGUGUGUGUGUAUGUGUAUGUAUGUGUGUCUGUCUGUGUAGAGCUUUGUAUAUAUAAAAUGAAGUUAUCUGUCUGUCUGUCUGUCUGUCUGUGUAGAGCUUUGUAUAUAUAAAAUGAAGAUGUCUGAGGAGGUCAGAAGAUAGCAUUAGAUCCUCUGGAGCUGAAGUUACAGUAGAGUAAGCUGCCUGACACAGGUGCUGGGAAUCAAACUUGGAUCUUUUAUAAGAGCAGAACAAACUAUUAAUUGCUGAGCCAUCAUCUCUCUAGCCCUAGUCAUUUAUUCUUUUCUCUUAUAUUCUUCCCUUUCCUUUUCUUCCCUUUUUAAAGAUUUAUAUGUUUGUAUACAUAGUUUGUGCCUGGUGUCUGCAGAAGUCAGAAAAGGGUGUUGGGUGCCCUGAUAUUGGAGUUAUAGAUGGUUAUAAGUCACCGUACAGAUGCUAGGUACUGAACCCAGCAAGUGCUCUUAACUACUGAGCUGUCUCUUCAGCCCUUAGUCAUUUAAUCUUUUUUUUGUUUUGUUUUUUGUUUUUUGUUUUUUUGAGACAGGGUUUCUCUGUGUAGCCCUGGCUAUCCUGGAACUCACUCUGUAGACCAGGCUGUCCUUGAACUCAGAAAUCCGCCUGCCUCUACCUCCCGAGUGCUGGGAUUAAAGGCAUGCCCACCACGCCCGGCUUAGUCAUUUCUUCUUAAUGCUUGACUCCUUAGUCUCUUUACUUAACUACUUAUCACUGCAGAAGGAAACGUCGGUGACCAAAGCUUCUGGUGGCACUAUUCUAGGAGCAUAAAGAGUUGUUUUGAAGGCAAUUUGACAGGCAUAUCAUGUCAAUUUUUCAAAACAGCAAUAAUAUUUUCCCACUAGUGCCUAUGACUUCUCCAGCUAUAGCCUUUGACUGGAAUUUAUGGCACCAGAUAUGGAUUCCAUGCUGUAGAGCAGGCGACAGAUCCAACCAGAAAGAGGUUGGUUACCAUUAUGACAGACUUGCCACUGUUGCAUUAAAAUCUUCUCCUGUGGGCUGGACGGUCUUGCUGCACACGGGGCCUACAGCUGAGCAAGACCACUGUUGCCUACUGUCCCCUGGUAUCCUGCAUAGUACCCUCUGAUACUAUGACAAUAGGUAAUAGGGAGGGAAUUUCCAGGCCAGAUCAGUUUACUUUCUUUGUGGUCUACUAGAUGGGCAACCGGCAGCAAUUAUAAUUGCGUAGAUUGUUUUGGGGGCCACAGGUGCCUCCCAGACCAACAGCUUCUAGGCUCAUAGCCUACCCUUGGCACUGGAAGUUCCAUUUAAAAACCUCUUGCUUCUGGAAGCAACUUUACCAUCGUGUCAGUUUGGGUAUAUAUAUAGAGGUGUGUGCGCUGCCUCUAUACUAUGUUUUCCUCUUGAGCUUUUCUUUCUUGUUUUAUUUAUUUAUUUCUGGGACAAGGUUUUUCUAUAUAGCCUUGGCUGUCCUGGAACUUACUUUGUAGAUCAGGCUGGUCCCAAACUCAGAGAUCCACCUACCUGUCUCUGUUUACUGAGUGCUAGGAUUAAAGGUAUGUGCCACUGUGCCUGUCCCCUUGAACUUUUCUAAAUCUAAAGAUUAUUUUUUUUAAGAUUUAUUUAUGUAUAUGGCUAUUUUGUCUGCAUAUAUGCACACCAGAAGAGGACAUUGAAUCACAGGGGAUUACAGUCAUAGGCCAUUGUGAGCCGUAAUGUGAAUGCUGGGAAUUGAACUCAGGACCUCUGGAGGAGCAGGCAACCAGUGCUCUAAACCACUGAGCUAUCUCUCCAACCUUGAAUCUAAAGAUUCUGAAGUCUUUUCUUGUAUCUUUGGUUGCUUCUGACAAAGGCAGAUGAUAUGUGGAUUGUGCAACUGAGUGUUCACUUUUUAAUAGGAAAAACUUUUACUCGUUUUUUAAAAAAAUCAUAGUUAGAAUGUCUUGAUUAUAUUGAAUUCUUACUUCCUCUUCUAGCUUCCCCCUAAGUCACCUAAAUAAUAUUUCUUAAUAUAAUUGUAUAUUUGUGCCUUUCCUGUCUUAAUUUAUUACCCCUCAAGAAUUCUUAAGGGGUUUGAGAGGGAUUUUAACUGUGUUUAAUUUUAAUUUUUUUAAUUAAAAAAAGUUUUUACUUAGGAAAUAACUGUUUGCUUAGUUUUCAAGCUGCAUUCCUUCUGGCCUGCUUUAAAUUAAGGUGGUUCAGGGUUUUCAAUAUACUUAAUAUUCUUUGAGAGGUGUGACUUGUCAAUCACUGAUAUCCAAUAAAAUCAUCCCACUG
rnacentral:lncRNA from 1 species